rnacentral:rRNA from 1 species
AGCGAACGCUGGCGGCAGGCCUAACACAUGCAAGUCGAACGAACCUUUCGGGGUUAGUGGCGGACGGGUGCGUAACACGUGGGAACGUGCCCUUAGGUUCGGAAUAACUCAGGGAAACUUGUGCUAAUACCGAAUGUGCCCUUCGGGGGAAAGAUUUAUCGCCUUUAGAGCGGCCCGCGUCUGAUUAGCUAGUUGGUUGAGGUAAUGGCUCACCAAGGCGACGAUCAGUAGCUGGUCUGAGAGGAUGAUCAGCCACAUUGGGACUGAGACACGGCCCAAACUCCUACGGGAGGCAGCAGUGGGGAAUAUUGCGCAAUGGGCGAAAGCCUGACGCAGCCAUGCCGCGUGAAUGAUGAAGGUCUUAGGAUUGUAAAAUUCUUUCACCGGGGACGAUAAUGACGGUACCCGGAGAAGAAGCCCCGGCUAACUUCGUG